rnacentral:pre_miRNA from 1 species
UCGCUCUGCAAGGUCAGCUCAAGGGUGUCUAGAAGUCUGGAUAUUGAGCAGGCCUGUCAGGGUGUUG